UGGUAAAAACAGAGUUAAAGGGGAUGGAUGUGGAAACUGGGGAGUCUGAAGUUGACGACUCCUAGACGGGGAGGUGAAUGAAAGGCUCUCAGUGAAGAAGACAGUAACUGGGGACAGAGAAGAGCUAUUCUCAAAAGGCUCAUGGAGAAGGCACGUCCAAGGGUGGAAGGAGGACUUCGUGAACAAGAGUUGCAGAGAGUAUUUGAGGAAGGACGAUUGGCAGUUUUUUAUUAUCAUAUAAAGGUCCAGAACCCUUCAGAUCAACUUACCAAUAAGUUCAGUAUGUAAAACAGAUAAAUGUGGUUGAAAUGGGGAAGGAUGAGAGUUAUUCCAAUCUGUCAGCACCCUCUACCCCCAUUCCCACCCUCCCCACAGGGGAGGCUCCAGGGAGUACUUUGAAAACCAUUGGAAAAAUUCAUCCCCUCUUAAAUGACUUGAAAUGCCACGUGUGUAAUAUGCUACAUUAAAAGUUUUACCUAUUCCAAUUAUUUUUCUGCCAAUCCCAUACGUGAAUAAAUUUAUGGAGCCUAAGAGCUUUAUAAUAUAACAAAAGAAGAAAUUGAAGUAUCAAAUAAAUAAGUAAAAUAACAUGGGGUUUUGGGGGGGCCUGUAAAAUUAGUAUAUUUCUUUAAUAUAGUGUCUAUUGGCAAGAGUUGACUAAAUACCUUCAAUAUAAAGAAGAUUAACUUGGUGAAACAAUAUAUUGGUCAAUAAUUUGAUAACGUGUGUCACAAGUUUACAAUGUUGAUAUUCUUUGAUCCACCAAAUCACUUAUAGGAUUUGAGCCUAAAGAAAUAACUGGAAAUGUAUGGAAAAUUCUUGCUGUUGUUUAUAUUAUUGAUAGUACUGAAAAUGAUCCAGGCCGGCCCGUGGCUUAGCGGUUAAGUGCGCUCGCUCAGCUGCUGGCGGCCCAGGUUCGGAUCCUGGGCGGGCGCCGACGCACCGCUUCUCUGGCCAUGCUGAGGCCGCGUCCCACAUACAGCGGCUGGAAGGAUGUGCAACUAUGACAUACAGCUGUCUACUGGGGCUUUGGGGAAGAAAAAAAGGAGG